AUGGGCCUCGCCGGCGGCAUUGUCCGGAGAGUCCUCUCCAAGAGCCCCUGCGCCUCCUCCUCGUCGGCGGGACGCGGAGGCCACACCGAAAGGAGCCCGGGCGACCACAAGAGGAGAUGGGGCUCUCUGAGGCUGUACCUGUGCGGCGACGAGAACGGCGCGGGUGCCGAGGACGGGGAGGACGACGAUGACGGGACGGUCUCGGCCAGGAGCUUCGAGACCUGCACCAUGACGCAGGACGCCCAAGCUCCGGCGGCAGCCGAUCAGCGUCGCCGCGAUGUCAACGGCGGCGCACACGGCCACGCUGAACAAGUUCACGCUCAGUGGAGCCCCGGCGAGCGGACGAAGCCGUUCACCGAGGACGAGGCGGCGACGCUGAUCCAGUCCGCAUUCAGGAGGUUCAUGGAAAGGGGGCGCUUGCUGCAGGAGGAGCUGAGGAGAAGUUCCGGACAAGAGUGCUGCUACGGUGAAGCGCCCAAGAGCCCUGCUGCCUCGGCGUCCACCAUCGCUGCGUCGGUGGAGGUCCAGGUAGGGGAGUCCCUGAGCAACCUCCGGCUGAGCGAUGACGGCGCGUCGGCGUCGGCGCAGCACCGGGCGGGCCAGAGCCAGAAGCCGCGGCCCCAGGUCUUCAGAGCCAAGGAGGAGUGGGACGACAGCACGCUGAGCUCCAACGUGCUGAGGAUGAGGAUCCAGAGCAAGAUGGAGGCCACCACGCGGCGCGAGCGGGCCCUCGCCUACGCCUUCUCACAGCAGCUGAGGAGCGGCGGCACGAAGAAGCGGUCGUCGAGGUCGGAGCAGGGGGAGUUCAACGUGGGGUGGAGCUGGCUGGAGCGGUGGAUGGCGACGCGGCAGGCCGAGCCCGGCGCCGACGACAGCGCGAGCAAGAACGCCACGGACGCCGGGUCGGCGGUUGCCGGGCGGCGGGUGGUGGUGGUGAGGAGGCGGCAGGACGUGGCCGUCGAGGAGAAGGAGAGCUGCGGCUCCAACGACGUGUCCGCCAUCAGCUUCGACGGCUCCAGCGCCGGCGGCCGGAGCGGACUCAGCUGCUACAGGCCCGGCAAGAACCGGCUCAGGGGGGGCAGGAACCUGCCGCGCCGGAAGGUGGCGGCCGCGUCGUCGGAGCACCGGCUCCAACCAAGAUCCCACAAGGUGAGCAAGAAGGCGCGGCAGAGGGAGGAGAAGCAGCUGCAGAAGGAUCAUCAAGCCGAGGCCGAGGCGUACGAUCCCCGCCAGCCCCCGACGGAUUACUGA
rnacentral:rRNA from 1 species